GACGUAGGGCGCGAGCGUUGUCCGGAUUUAUUGGGCGUAAAGAGCUCGUAGGCGGCUUGUCGCGUCGACCGUGAAAACUUGGGGCUCAACCCCAAGCCUGCGGUCGAUACGGGCAGGCUAGAGUUCGGUAGGGGAGACUGGAAUUCCUGGUGUAGCGGUGAAAUGCGCAGAUAUCAGGAGGAACACCGAUGGCGAAGGCAGUGGUCUGGGCCGAUACUGACGCUGAGGAGCGAAAGCGUGGGGAGCGAACAGG
rnacentral:rRNA from 1 species